rnacentral:rRNA from 1 species
UACGUAGGGUGCGAGCGUUAAUCGGAAUUACUGGGCGUAAAGCGUGCGCAGGCGGCGCGUUAAGACAGGUGUGAAAGCCCCGAGCUUAACUUGGGAAUUGCGCUUGUGACUGGCGUGCUGGAGUGUGGCAGAGGGAGGUGGAAUUCCACGUGUAGCAGUGAAAUGCGUAGAGAUGUGGAGGAAUACCGAUGGCGAAGGCAGCCCCCUGGGUCAAUACUGACGCUCAUGCACGAAAGCGUGGGGAGCAAACAGG